rnacentral:rRNA from 1 species
GAUGAACGCUGGCGGCGUGCCUAAUACAUGCCAGUCGAGCGAACGGACGAGAAGCUUGCUUUUCUGAUGUUAGCGGCGGACGGGUGAGUAACACGUGGAUAACCUACCUAUAAGACUGGGAUAACUUCGGGAAACCGGAGCUAAUACCGGAUAAUAUUUUGAACCGCAUGGUUCAAAAGUGAAAGACGGUCUUGCUGUCACUUAUAGAUGGAUCCGCGCUGCAUUAGCUAGUUGGUAAGGUAACGGCUUACCAAGGCAACGAUGCAUAGCCGACCUGAGAGGGUGAUCGGCCACACUGGAACUGAGACACGGUCCAGACUCCUACGGGAGGCAGCAGUAGGGAAUCUUCCGCAAUGGGCGAAAGCCUGACGGAGCAACGCCGCGUGAGUGAUGAAGGUCUUCGGAUCGUAAAACUCUGUUAUUAGGGAAGAACAUAUGUGUAAGUAACUGUGCACAUCUUGACGGUACCUAAUCAGAAAGCCACGGCUAACUACGUG